CACAUGUCAAUUUAUAGGUUUGAAUUCAGAGAAAAUACUUCAUGUUUCAUAUAAGUAAUGGGAAUACCUUACCACGUGUGGGACUGUCAAUAUCACUUGGUCUUCUUACAACAUUGAAUGUACUUCUGCCCUGAUCGACUUUAAUGGGAAAAAACAAUCACUAUCUACUAGGAGCACUAGUUUCUCAGGAUUCAAUUCAAACAACUGGAAAAAGUUUCUUGUUUAAAAAUCAGAUAGCUAAUUUUGUCGAACGUUCUGGUUGGUUAGGUUAGGUUAGAUUUUAUUUACAAUGGGGGUUGUUUAUAAACCCGUCGCUGUUGAUUAUCGGGUCUGUUUGAACAAAAGAGUUGAUUGGUAAGAAGAGUAGAAGGUUUAUCUAUGUGUACUUUUGCUUAUCUCAUAUCUUCUCAGAGCUUAUCUUCUUAAUUCUUUUGAACUUAUUAGUGGUUAGUGAAUAACAAGCUGUACUUUGCUUACAUCACACACCAGUAUUUUUUUAGGACUUUUUUACACUCCAGCCCCACAGCAUAGAGCCACAUAAUUUCAUCCAUAAUAGUAGCUCUGCAGUCCAAGCAACAAAGUAAUAUAUGGGUUAUGGUAAAUUAAAAUAAUAAUUGUUUUAUACAAAUUUAUUAAGGCACUUUCUGUCGUAAUUAUAUAUAAUCCUAAUAAUAUUUCGAAUAUAUUAACAGCCGAAGCUUAUUUGUAAUACCCGGCAAUAACUAAAUGAGGUACUAUCCAAUACUUACAUCCUAUUUUUGAACACAAAAUAUAAAAAAAAAGUGAAUUUAUUUGGAACCAACAACAAAGAAUAACUUGCUUCAAAUUGGAUUAUCUUU